rnacentral:rRNA from 1 species
UACGUAGGGUGCGAGCGUUAAUCGGAAUUACUGGGCGUAAAGCGUGCGCAGGCGGCUUUGCAAGACAGAUGUGAAAUCCCCGGGCUUAACCUGGGAACUGCAUUUGUGACUGCAUGGCUGGAGUGCGGCAGAGGGGGAUGGAAUUCCGCGUGUAGCAGUGAAAUGCGUAGAUAUCAACAGGAACACCAGUGGCGAAGGCGAGUCUCUGGACAACUUCUGACGCUGAGGCACGAAAGCUAGGGGAGCAAACAGG